rnacentral:rRNA from 1 species
GACGAACGCUGGCGGCGUGCCUAACACAUGCAAGUCGAGCGGAGGAUUCGAGAUGUUUACAUCGAAGGAUCCUUAGCGGCGGACGGGUGAGUAACACGUGGGUAACCUGCCUCAGAGUGGGGGAUAGCCUUUCGAAAGGAAGAUUAAUACCGCAUAAGAUUGUAGCGUCACAUGGCGCAGCAAGAAAAGGAGCAAUCCGCUUUGAGAUGGACCCGCGGCGCAUUAGCUAGUUGGUGAGGUAACGGCUCACCAAGGCCACGAUGCGUAGCCGACCUGAGAGGGUGAUCGGCCACAUUGGAACUGAGACACGGUCCAGACUCCUACGGGAGGCAGCAGUGGGGAAUAUUGCACAAUGGGCGAAAGCCUGAUGCAGCAACGCCGCGUGAGUGAUGAAGGCCUU